CCUUUGAUAUCCCGGCUACAGCAGGAGGCCCAGGGAGGGUGGGAGGGGCCGCCUAGCCCAGCCUGCAGGCCCACAGCUCUUGCACUGUCAGGCCUGGAGAACAGGGCUCCUCCCUGCCUCUCAGCAGAUCGCCUCAUGCCUAUCAGCCUGCAGCACAUUCCUCGCAUUCUAGGAUUGAGAUACACAGUUUGGUUCUUGUGGGGGCAGCCAGGGCGGGGGAGGAGGGCAGAGAACGUCCCAGAGAUCAAGACUGCUGUUGGCUUUCUCCCUCCCUGACUGACUUGGCCCACACUGACUGGCCUGCCACCCCUUUACAGUGAUCUCCACCCAGUCUCUCUCUGCAAAGGCCUCCCUUGGCUCUCUGAUAAAGUUGGAGCUGUGGGUGCAGCAUUUCACUUCGACCUAGCAGCAUCAAUGAGCCAGCUCCUCACUGGUGUGCAGGAAAAGAAUCCAGGAGAUCACCUGAUGAAGCCCAGCGUUUUACAGAUAGGCAGUGGAGCAGGGGAAUCCAGUUGAUACUGUGGCUAAAUUUCAGAAAACCUCCCAUGAGACCUUGCAAAGGAGAUGGAGAAAAUAUGACUGAAUGCCAGCAAGGCUGGAUGGAAGCAUGACUACUCUAACAACCAAGCUCAAAGAGCACUGCUCACCCAAUAUUUCCUUCAUGCCUAGAGCAAAGUGGUGAGAGGACCCUAGUGAAAGGCCCAAAGAACAGGAGGUGUGAGCCGAGAGAAGGUGGAGUCCUGCCGGGCCUGUGUUACAGGCUAUUUGGAGGCUGAACUUGAGGCAAACCUGGGGUCAAGGACAGAAAACCAAAGCAUCGCCCUGGAAGGUUAGCACUGAAAGUGCCCUUGAAUAGUAAUGUGUCUAUUCCUCUACUCCUUACCUCCUUCAAACCUAUUUAGGACCAUAUUGGCUAUGUCCCUUGUCCUACAUUUUCUUGGAAGUUUUGUGACAAAUCCUAUACUAGAACUCAAAUAUGAGGACUUUCAUGUUCACUGUGCUUCCACAAAAGAUGCUAACAUGAAUUAGUUCCUGUUUUGAAAGGAAUAGUAUCAACAACAAAAAGGACGUCCACUCAGAGACCCCAUCCGAAGGUCACCAACAUCAAAGACCAA